rnacentral:rRNA from 1 species
GACGAACGCUGGCGGCGUGCCUAAUACAUGCAAGUCGAGCGCAGGAAAUCAUCUGAACCCUUCGGGGGGGACGUUGAUGGAAUGAGCGGCGGACGGGUGAGUAACACGUAAAGAACCUGCCCUCAGGUCUGGGAUAACCACGAGAAAUCGGGGCUAAUACCGGAUGGGUCAUCGGACCGCAUGGUCCGAGGAUGAAAGGCACUUCGGCGUCGCCUGGGGAUGGCUUUGCGGUGCAUUAGCUAGUUGGUGGGGUAAUGGCCCACCAAGGCGACGCUGCAUAGCCGACCUGAGAGGGUGAUCGGCCACACUGGGACUGAGACACGGCCCAGACUCCUACGGGAGGCAGCAGUAGGGAAUCUUCCACAAUGGACGAAAGUCUGAUGGAGCAACGCCGCGUGAACGAUGAAGGCCUUCGGGUCGUAAAGUUCUGUUGUAAGGGAAGAACAAGUGCCGCAGGCAAUGGCGGCACCUUGACGGUACCUUGCGAGAAAGCCACGGCUAACUACGUGCCAGCCGCCGCAGUAAGAC